rnacentral:rRNA from 1 species
UACGUAGGGGGGCUAGCGUUGUCCGGAAUCAUUGGGCGUAAAGCGCGCGUAGGCGGCCUCGUAAGUCCGUUGUGAAAGUCAAAGGCUCAACCUUUGAAAGCCGAUGGAUACUGUGAGGCUAGAGUCCGGAAGAGGCGAGUGGAAUUCCUGGUGUAGCGGUGGAAUGCGCAGAUAUCAGGAGGAACACCAAUAGCGAAGGCAGCUCGCUGGGACGGUAUUGACGCUAAGGCGCGAAAGCGUGGGGAGCAAACAGG